UAAUACGUACUCCACAAGUGGUAUCCACUGAUAUUGGGCCUAAAAGGUCUGUAGCCUGUUCGAAAAGUCUUCGGUGAAAUCCAAUUGCUCAACAAUUGGAAUGGCCAAAGAUACUUUCGGACUCGAGACCGGGAGAGGUCAAGGGAAUUUCCGGAGUAGCGGUGAAAUGUUAUGAUCCCGGAAGGACCACCAGUAGCGAAGGCGCUUGACUAGAACGGGUCUGACGGUGAGAGACGAAAGCUGGGGGAGCGACCCGGAUUAGAUACCCGGUUAGUCCCAGCCGUAAACGAUGUGGACUAGGCGUCCCGUUGCCUUCGAGGUGCCGGGGUGCCGAAGCGAAGGCAUUAAGUCCACUGCCAGGGAAGUACACUCGCAAGGGUG
rnacentral:rRNA from 1 species